CCACUGCCCUGGAGAGCCUGUUCCAGUGCCCAGCCACCCUCUGGGUGAAGAGCCUUUUUCUAACAUCCAACCUAAUAAUUGUGAUGCUGCCCAGAACACAAUUGGCUUUCUGGGCCGUGAGGGCACAGUGCUGGGUCAUGUCCAGCCUCUCAUCCACCAGCCCAGCUGGAUGUUGUGGAUCAGUCUGGGCAAGCUCGUGUUGCUUGUAGGAGCAGGAAGCUGGGAGAGCCUGAGUGGCUCGUUAUGACUGCCAGGUACGAGACUGAGAAGGAUCUCAGCUGGGACUGCAUUUGCUGUGAAGGUGCAGAUCUUUCUUUGGACUUGAUGAUCUUAAAGUGAAGGGGAUUUCAUAUAGGAUGUGGAAAGCUGUUUUUUCCUGACACCUGGCUAUCUCCACGUUGGAUGCUCUAUUUCACAGAAACCAAAUCUGUGACAGUGCAAAAGCAUUGAAGAAAAUGUUUUCCUAUGGAUGUCUCACAGAAGAAGAAAGGAUGAACUCACCCCAGCAACUAUUUGCUUAGUUCUUGGGGAAUUUACGCUUCUACGUCAAUGGUUCAAAGGUUGUCUGAACUUGCAAUGACCUCAAAUGUUCAGCAUUUACAUCCAGGAGUUAUUUUCCAUUGGAGAGAGUUGUGGGUACCCUACUGCCUUCUUUGGAAUGGUUCUGGGCUCAUCAUUCUCAGAAUGUUUCUCUGCUUCUACUCUGUUCAAUGGAAGUGGUCACCAUUCUAGACUGAAGCUAGGAACAACAUCUUUUUAAAAAGAAGAACAUGUUUAAACAAGAGUAACAGAAGGGCCUCAUAAUGGAGAAAUCAAAUCACAAGAGAUUCAUCUCACCUAAUUUUAUCCCUUUGACACUUAGUUAUCUAAUCUAAAAGGGCUAUCUGGAGUCUCCUGUUGCCAGUGAAAAGAUAGACAGCAAUGAAUGGCCUUCUGGAGGUAUUUAUGUCUCUCCAUGCUGACUAUAGGUGGAGCCCAGACAACUGGUUUAUAGUAAAUGUUGAGCUUCUCAUGGGCUACAGAUAGAGAUGUGAUAAGUGGAUCCCACCCCUAAUAUCCCAAAGCCUCAUCUUCUUCCAUCAGUGACUCAGGAGAAAAAUAAUAACCAUGUCUACAAGCAAGGAGUGUCUACACUAAAGGAAAAUAUCAAUUUGUUAUAAAUCCUGGCCUGGGCUGAGGGUGUCUCAGUGGGAGGGAGCAGGAACUGGUCACUGGGUUCACUAGAGGGAGCUCAGAAGAAACCUGUCAGUCUCACCACGAUCAUGAUGUUCCUGUUGCAGAAUUAUUCCAGAGAAGCUACUUCUGGUGGAAAGGCCUCUGAGGUCUUUUCUCCUGCUCAAAGACAUAAUGCUGGAUUUGUCAAACCUGAUUUCUCAGCCAGAUUAUAACUUCUAAUCCAUUUGAUCUUAUUUUGAUUACCUUAUCUGGAAAAGACUUGUGCAUAGAGAAAAAUGUGGUCCAAGAUAAGCACAUCUUUGUCUACAGAGAAAAGCAACAACAACAACAACAAUCACAACAAUAAAUCUGUCUUCAAGAACAGAUCUUUCUGUCUUGGAAAGACUUUGGACACAUGAGCACCUCUGGACGCAUUUCGUGUGUGUGUGUACACACACGUGUAUAUAGCAAUAAACAUGCCCUGUUCUAAGAUUUAUAGUUCUGAGGAAUAAAAAAAGGCUGACCAUUCUCUUUUCUUUCUAAAUCACUCCUGCCAGCUCAUACUUUGAAUCAGUCCUUCCCCACAUCUACAAUAUUUUCCAUUUAGGUGGGUUGAGACAAGACAAUCUUGCUACUGAGGUCAGUGCUUUAGCAGCCUCUGUUCUGGAUUGGUGGACUCAGAUGAGCAUGAACUUUUUCCAGAAGCAGUCCCAGCUCAGUGGGAUGUAGCUGAUUUCUGUGAAAGUGUAUGUCUGCCUGCACAACUGAUAUCCCAAAGCAUUCUAUUUUUAUGCUGUGAGUUGCUGUGUUGAGAUCUAAAAUGUUCAGAAUUAUUUUUAUUGGACAAACACAAGCACUGAAAUCAUGAGGUUCUGGCAGGCUCCAAGCUCUGCCAGCUUAACACUUCUUUGUGCUUGGCAGGCAAAACAGUUUUUAAUAUUUUAGUUUUACUUUGCUGGUUCCUGCACAAUGUGGGUAGUUCUCAGUGACUUUAAUCAAAAGGUAGGAAGUAUGCAAGGACUAUUUAUGAGACUUUUAACUGAAUUGAAUCAAAUGAUGCAUUAUCUGAUCAAUUUUAACAGCAAUAAUACAAAUUUAAUUUUGGACCCAAACCUGUAUAAUUUGCUGCAGCUCAUCAGCCAGCUGAAUUACCCAAUGUGCUGGGUGUCUCACUGAUUCAGAUUUGCCCAAUGAUUCAGAUUUGUUUGUGGUGCUGACUGGGGAUUGAAACCUGCUCUCUGUAAGCCAAUGGAAAGGCCCAAAUAAUUCUAUUGUUUUGAAGGAAGUUAUGUUCUGUUGACCUUGGACCUUCACCCUCUUUCCUGCAAAACACAGGCUCAGCAAGGCAGGUUUAGUCUUUACUUCGUGAGAUGAGAAGGGGGGUGGUGAGGAAGGAAAGGAAAACCUGGAUCAUCUCCAGCAGUAAAAAGCUCCAGGUAGAUCAUUGCCAGGUUCUUUUCUGCAGAUAAGCUUAAAUAGGUGUUACACCCAGUGACUGCUACUGUGACCUGCAAAUGUCACAGUGCGACAGAGCCCCAUAAAAGAGGUACAAAUCAGAGGGAAAACAGAGAGAAGGAUUGUGACCUGCAAAGAAUCAGUUCCACUCUUUUCUUCAUAACAACGGCAUGAGCUUGGAUUAAUAUUACCAACAUUAGAGACUGCAGCAGGACUGCUGAGCCAGGAGUGCACUGUAAAGACAAAAUAACACAUCCUUUCAGAAGCUGCUCUUGCCCAAUAUUUUCUUUUUCUGUGAUGUGUUUCUCUGCCUCCUGAUUAUUAUUUCCUGUGUGCACCUGACACAGUUGCAUAAAAAGCACACAGAGCAGCUUGGUGAGCUCACCAUGGCUCAGCAGUCAGGCAGGACUAUGGAUUGUAAUUUACAGCAGAGCCCAAGCUCUGAGCAGCAGAUUCAAUUUUAUAAGUGCCGCUCUAGUUCAGCUUAGGUAAGAGUCUCUGGAACAGACAGCUUUCCAUGUGCUAUAAAUAGUGAGUGGUUAAAUGUGCUCCCUCAGUACACAUCAUUGAUUGCCAUGCAAAGCACAUUCUCAAGAAUAGCCAGCCUCACCCCCCUCAUCACGUACCGGGGUAUUUAUUUAUCCCUUAUUGUCAUUACAGGCAAAUAAGAGGUUUGACCCGAUGUAGCAGAGAGGUGGAAGGCUGAUUAUUUUAUUUCCACAGCUGUUGCAUUGCUGUGUUUUACAAUAUGUUUGUAAAUCAUCAGCAUAAUGGCAUGUUAUUAUAGCUGGCAAGUUAUAUCUUCAAGGAAAUAUAUUUUAAUUUACUGAAAAGGAAUAGGAAUAGCUAACUAUCUUAUCAGCAGGCCUAUCUUAAGUACAAGAACAAGGUCCACCCAGAUACUGAUUAAUAUCAACUGUAUUGAUUUUAUUACUCAUACUUUAUAAACGACACUGAUAUUCUUGAAGAGUGCAAACAUUUGCUUUCUUGUGCUAUUGUCUCAGUUGGAGUGUAAAUCUCUCACUUUUGUGAUUAUUGUUCUGGUCAUUGUUUCAUGACUGGAGGCAUUUUAAUGAUG